AGCCUUGCACAGUAGCAGUAUUGCAGUCAAUGAGGUUCAUCUGAGGCGCAACUAUUGUUAACUAAAAAGAUGCCCAUGUCCCC
ensembl:snRNA U4 U4 spliceosomal RNA